rnacentral:rRNA from 1 species
ACUCCUACGGGAGGCAGCAGUGGGGAAUAUUGCACAAUGGGGAAACCCUGAUGCAGCCAUGCCGCGUGUGUGAAGAAGGCCUUCGGGUUGUAAAGCACUUUCAGUAGGGAGGAAGGUAGUGGUAGUUAAACACCUGCAUAUUUGACGUAUCCUACAGAAGAAAGCACCGCUAACGUCUGCCAGCAGCCGCGGUAAUACGGAGGGUGCGAGCGUUAAUCGGAAUUACUGGGCGU